rnacentral:rRNA from 1 species
UACGGAGGGUGCAAGCGUUAUCCGGAUUUACUGGGUUUAAAGGGUGUGUAGGCGGACUUUUAAGUCAGCGGUGAAAUCUCCGGGCUCAACCCGGAAACUGCCAUUGAUACUAUUAGUCUUGAAUGUUGUUGAGGUGGGCGGAACGGGUCAUGUAGCGGUGAAAUGCAUAGAUAUGACCCGGAACACCGAUUGCGAAGGCAGCCCACUAAGCAACUAUUGACGCAGAGGCACGAAAGCGUGGGGAUCAAACAGG